CCUACGGGGGGCAGCAGUAAGGAAUAUUGGACAAUGGGCGGAAGCCUGAUCCAGCCAUCCCGCGUGCCGGAUGAAGGCCCUCUGGGUCGUAAACGGCUUUAGACUGGAAAGAAACCCUUUGGUGCGCCAAAGGUUGACGGUACCAGUAGAAUAAGCACCGGCUAACUCCGUGCCAGCAGCCGCGGUAAUACGGAGGGUGCAAGCGUUAUCCGGAAUCACUGGGUUUAAAGGGUGCGUAGGCGGCUUUUUAAGUCAGAGGUGAAAGCUUCGCGCUU
rnacentral:rRNA from 1 species